ensembl:lincRNA
AUGAAGAGGAAGAAAGAAGCGCUGGAUACACACAGCAGCGACAGGACGGCCCCGCGCACUGACCUUGCUGCUUUCUCCGUGCCUUUGCCUUCUCAGCUCUCGCCUGGGAAGGGAACACUUGCCUUUCCUGCAGGCCCCAAACCACAGGCCAGCUGUUCAAUUCCAACACAGCUCCAGCUCCCCGAGGAUCCUCAAUCCCCUAACUGCACGCAUGUUUACAUCGCUCAGUCUCCACAGUUCCAGCACUUUUUCAGUGUCAGGGAUGGCAUGACUCUGAAGGAAUCUACGUGGAGAAUUAUUCCUGUAGGGCAGAUGCCAAGAAAAUCCACUCAGCCGAAGGUGUUCCAUGCCACGUUCAGCAGCUACACAGCUUCCCGUCCCAGCGAUGAGGCCUCACAUGCUCAGCCAGUGUCCAGCUGGCUCACAUCUGGAUGAUUUCAGGGCUCAUCAUUAUUAAAAUGCUACAAAAGGUUCAUGCAUAAUUGUGCACAUCUCUGGUUGCUUCUUUAGCAGAUUAUCAUAUUUUCAAUGACAAUGCAGAGUUCAGUGGUACUUUACUCCCUUUCUCCCUGUCUUGUUUCUCAGCAAAGUGGUACGAAGUAAAACCUUCAUAAAAAUCCUUCGCCAUGUUGUGGAACACUUUCAGCCCCUUUUCUUUUCACUAAACCUUAUCUUGACCCGGACAAACUAUAUUAUUCAGCACACAAUUGGUCCACUAGGGAUGUUCAUUACCUGCAUUUCUGGCCUUAGAGGACUCCACAGCAUCUUAUAACGCAUCUCCUACUUUCAUUUCCAGCAGCGUUCCCCCACUCACCUCUGAAAUUUUGGGAUCCAUUUCCACCAAAGUUUUCUGUCUCGAGACAGUGAGAGAGAGGUAGUAGCCAUUCACUUCGUAGCACCCUUCUUAUCAAAAUAAAAUAUUACACAUGUGCAUAUGUAUGUGGGCACGCAUACACACGUGCACACACUUAAACCUGAAAUACCAGAAAGUAGUAACACAUGUUUAUGAAACCCUGAAGACCACCUGCAUGGCAACCCUUAGAGGUGUCUGUUAAAAUUCAAGUUCCUCAAAAAAACCACUUCAAAUUCCUCAAUGGCAGCUCAGAAUCACUGCUUCCAAAUCUUGGAGGAUGAGAACUAAGUUUCUGUGCUUGAUCGAGCUCCCUAAGAGCAUGGUUCUCAUUAAAAUGUAAAAGUUUCUGUACUAGUUUCAGCUUUCUGAAAGCUAUGACAAAAUACCUGAGAAAGUCAACUUCAAAGGCAAAACGUUUAUUUUAGCCCCUAAUUCCAGAGAUUUGUGUCUGGUCAGCUGGCUCCAUGGCUUUGGACCUGAGGCAGGGCAGGAUAUCAUUGCAGUGGGAGUGGCAGGGAGCGCUGCUCAUCUCAUGGAAGCCUGCAAGCAGAGAGCAGGGAAAGGGAGCAGGGACGCUAUCUACCUUUCCAGGGCCCACCCCCAGCGACCUUCCUCCAAGUUGAACUCACCUCUUACAGUGUUUCCCCCACUCCCAGUAGCUCAUUUAAUUAUUAGCCCUUCGAUGGAUUUAUCUCAUGAUCCAGUCACUUCCCCAAAUCUCCACCUCUGAACAUUGCUGCAUCCAGGACCAAACUCAAUACGUGAGUUUUGAGCAGACAUUUUAGAUCCAAAUCAUAACAAUAGCUUAUAAAACUCUUACAUCAAAGGUUAACUCUUGGACUGGGGAUUUAGCUCAGUGGUGCCACUGCUUGCCUAGCAAGAGCAGAUCCUGAGUUUGGU